AUGGGACAGGAUGCUGGGGUCCCCACUGCAGGCUUAGGCCCAUGCCACAGCCCAGAGGGGCAUGAGGGUAGAGAAAUUGAAAAGGCAGGUCACAGACCUCAAAGAUUUCAUGGGAGGCCCUGGGUUCAGNNNAUCGAAACUAAUCCAUCUGUAUCCACCUCAAAGCAUCCAGCCCCACACUUACAUUUCUGGUUUCUAGGGUGUUUCUGUGUCUACACAAUUCCUGUAUCUCAAGGAAGUCACAUAGCAAGGGAGUCUGGGACUCUUGUGCCAUUUCUCAGCAGGUGAUACUGGGUUUAAAGCAUGGCAACAGAAAAUAAAGGAAGACUCCACAUUAUGAAUCAGCCUGAUCUCCCUCUCUUUCUCUCCUAUGCAUAGCUCAUAGAGCCAACCUGCAUCUCUCAAUGGCUGGUGCUCAAAAAUUCACCCUCUGAUGCCAGAGAUUUAGCUCAAUGGAUUCACCACCUGCUGUGCAGGUGCAAGGACCUGAGUUCGAUCCCUGGUACCAAAAAAAUAAAAAAAUAAAAAAUCACCCUCUGAGAUCUGAAGGACAAGAGACGAUCCCAUAUCUGGCUGUGAUGAGCAAAGUGACAGAUUCCAUCCAAGACCCUUCUGUGCCCAGCGCCCUCCUGGGGUGCAGAAAUGGUCCACCUGAGGAUGAUUGCUUUUAAGAUGAACUUGCUCUUGGCUUUUCAGAGCAGGCACCUGCUUUCUAAGUAUAUUUAGUGGCCUUUCCUGUUUCUCGCUCCUGGAAAUAGAGCAAUAAAUGUGCUCAGGUUUCUAGACUGUGUCCUGUGGAGACAACAGAAGUCACGGGAGGGCUGCCUAGAGCAGAUCAGGUCUUCUAGCAGAGGACAGAGUGUGGGAUGUCACCCUCAAGCAGUGUGGAUGAGGGAGUUGGAUUAAUUGCCAAGACUUUCUCACACUUUUUUAGUCAACUAGGGAUUUUUCACUUUUUCAGGAUUGGGCCUGGAUCCAGGGCAUUUGUACUUAGCCACAUCCCCAGCUUCUUUGAGACAGUAUUUUGGUAUAUUGCUAAGUUUCCCAGCAUGGCCUGAAACUUGUACACUUGCAAUUCACUGGUGUCAGCUUCCCAGAGUGCUGAGAUUAUAGGAGUGUACAAUCAAACCCGGCUUUGACCCAUUUUACUAAGAGGAAAGGAAAACAUGAAAACGAGGGAGUAGAAUUAUUAAGUAACACAUGUUCUACACUUAUUUGGCAGCCAGAUUCUAUAGUACAAUCAAGAGUGAAGAAAAGCCACCUGUUUCACCCAUGGUCAAAGGGAAAACCCACAUUCAGACAGUUAAAUAUCUUUUCAAUGUUCAGGGUGAGGCUGACUGCUGAAAUGGUGUGGCACCACAGUGAAUCAGAUCCUGGUGUUGAGGCAGCACCAAAUAAAAAUAUUAACUCUGGGAGCUGACCACAGCCUGCUGUUCCCUUUUCUCAGUCUGAAAAUUCAACUUUCUCCACCCUAAUAUUUACUAGAGGAGCACCUUUACCUGGAAUCACUUUAAGAUUCUCAUUGAAAGUGUCAAAUCUAUCACCCUUUCCUCCUAGAAGCUACCUAAAGGAAUCUAUCUCUGAGCCUGACCAAAAAUUUUUAUAUAUACAAAUUACAGAUUGAUGCCAUUAAAUCUAUGCAUGCAAAAAUCAAAACUGUGUGUAGAAAUUCCCAAGGAAUAUAGGGUCAAAACCUCAGAAAGGAGAUAAGCACUCAAUGGCUGUGGCUUCUGCGUGUGAAUCUCUACCCUUCCACCACUUUGUAGCUUUUCAGUCGGCACACUUGUUCUGCUGGGGUUCUCUCCAGCUGGAGGCCACCUAUAGGGAAGACUGCUGCCCAGAAGGCACCGAGGGAAAUUCAUUGCUCUUUCUCUGCAGGCUCAAGUUUGGUCUCAUCUUGAAGUUAUGAUUCAUCUACAUCACAACAACAUUUAUAGAUAAAAGAAUGUUGAAUCCAAGUCUUUGAACAUCACUUUGUGACAGUUCACGAUUCAUAUUAUGUUACCUGAUAAAGCAGAAAAAGGAAAUCCGGAGAUACUUUAAGUGGCUUUAAAAAUGGAAAAAUAGAAAUACCUUUGAGAAUACAAAGAAGUCUACCAACAAAUACUUAUAUGUAAUCAAACUGGUUUGGAUACAACUUAUCAAACACAAACUCUCCCAUUCCUUCAGCCUCAGUAGUUUGUUCUCUCAAGGUCCCAGGUGAUGUCUCCUGGUGCUGUCUGCCUGGGGAUGUUUGUGUUCUCUUUGCCAUUUGAAACUGUCCCUGUCUCACCUCCACUACUGCUCACCCAGUCUUUUCUAGAGUAAAUCCUAAACUUCCUACAAAUGCAUUUUCCUUCCACAAAUUUAUACCUGCUCCAGGUUUAUUCCUUCUGAGGUUCAAUCACAUCCCAUGUGAAACCAAGGUACUGCCCUGGGGCAAAAGAUAGAAAGUUUUCAAGAGGCUGUGAUUUAGACAUGGGAGUGGCAGAGUGGUUGUUUUUGGGCAAUGUGCAUGCUGUCUGUCAUUUGUCAAGUUAAUCAGUCAUGUGUCUCUUCCAGACAACUUCUGUCUAGUCUUUUUACCUGUUGUGACAAGCCAGACUGAUAGGUGUUGUGUACCUCUCUAUUGAAAUAAGAACUAGAGUAGAGCCCUCUUAUCUGAUGGAGAAUUGAUUCAAUGUGUCCAACAUGUUUCCAACCAUAGAUAGUAAUAAAAGAUGCACGUACGUACAUACAUUUAGCAUUUUAUAUUCACAUACACCUAUGAAAAAUUGUAAUUGAUAAAUUAGAUGCAUAUUGUUUAAUACUGAAAUGGUUAUUUAAAACCAUGGUGUAACCAGUGCCUUGUGAAUGUGCUUUUUCUGAUUGUUGCCUGUUAUUGUACUCACCCUUCUUGUUAUGGUAUGACAUCACACAAUAGCUAUAUGAUGAGUUAAAUUGAGAUAAAUGAUGGAUCAUAGUGGCAUGAGAUUUAAUCAUGCUACUGAGAAUGGCAUGAUUUGAACCUUGUCAUUUUUAAUUUUCAAAAAUUUUAGUAUUAUGAGUAUUAUUAGGCCCUACUGAACUGUAGGUAAAGUGGGACUACGAUUACCUUAGCUGCUGCCCCACCCCUGGACACACCUAUUGGACAUACAGGUGUAAAGCUUGUGCCCCAAAACCCAGGCAGCUCUGUAUCAAAGUUUUAGGUAGAUGAAUCUGAUGCUUCACUUUGCAUCUAUUGAACUCACGUGCUUGUGAUCAUCACAGGCUUGUGCUGCACACUUCUGGCUCUCCAUUUCUGGGGUCCCAGUGUGGCCUCAUAUGCAUCACUUGGGAUUCUCUUUACUGGAAUCGAAUUCUGUAGAUUUUCUUUAGAAACAUAGGAAAGAUGAUGAACUCCUUAUACACUUGUAUAUUCAGGAGUCUGCUAUUUAUAGGUGACUGACUUUACUAUUGACUUUACUAAUAUUGUUUAAAUUUUACUUUUAUAAGAAAAAUUAAAAGAUCAGUGUCUGGAAAAUGAAAGAUAUUUUACAAAUGAAAACAGAAUGAAGAAAUGUUGGAAGAGGAAAAAAGGGGAUGGGAAGGUAAAACAAAGAGUUCAAAUGUGCUGUAUACACGUGCAACUUUCUGACAACAAAUGUAAAAAUUAUACACUACAGACACAUUAGAAAUUUUAAGAUUUUUUGCUUUUGGACUGUUAGUCAUGUCAUCAGCAUGACUUGAUGGGGACAUGCCAUAAAACCUGUGUCUGUGUGUGUCUUCUAGAUAAAAUAAUUUAUAUGUGGGUCAUUGAUCUGAGUAGGAAGUAAAUGUCAUGAAAAAAAUGGGUGUCACCUAAGAGAACUGGGAAUCGGUGGACCAAAAAAAAAAAAAAAAAGUGGAAGAGAAGCUUCUGCAUACUUGAACUGUCUUAAACAGGUGUGAUGUUUGGUGCUGUCAUCAUCCAAGAACAUCAGGCUCCAGUGCUCAGCCUCAGAACACAGACCUUCAUUAGAGGUUCCUUGUGGGGCUUCAAUGCCUUCCCCCAUGGCUGUGGUUGCUUUAUUGUUUCUUCUUGUUCUUAAGCUUCUAACUUCAUUUGAGCAGCAGUAGUUCCCCAGGUUUAACCUCUUAGGCACCCACUGUAGGAGUAUUCAGCCUCUGAUUACACAGACAUUUAAAAAAUCUUCCAUGAGAAAAGGAGAAAAAGAAGUUCAUAUACAUGUGUAUACAUGGCUCGCUGCAGUACACUAACAGCAAUGAACCCAGGAAAGAAUGUAAUGAGCUUGGUGUUAUGUGCAUCACUGCCUCAAUAAAGGUGAAGUGAUUACAGAGGUUCCUUGAGGUACAAAGUGGAAAUAUUUGAGCAACCCGAAAGGCUGAAAUAAAUAUACUGAAUACACAUUUAAUAUACCAAAUCUAA
rnacentral:lncRNA from 1 species